rnacentral:lncRNA from 1 species
UUUGAGAAAUGGUCUUAUGAAUUGCCUUCAACAUCUCUGGCCUUUUUUUUUCUUUGUAAUUCACUAGUGAUAAAGCUUCAUUGUAUGAAAAUGACUUGACUUCUGCAAACAUCCAACCUUCAGUUGAAAUUGUCUGAUAAGUUUGGAUAGAAGGAGGCUCAAGGGUAGUAGAAGAAGAAAGGAAACUGGAAAGUCACAGGAAGACUGGUUCGGGGCUCACCAUUCUCUCUAGAAAGAAUAGCACACAGAGCUCACAGGGGUGCACGACGGUAUGAAAAACUGGCUUCUCCCUCUACCAGGCUGAACUCCAUUUAAAAUCAGGAGCCGUGACCAGCAUCAUCAAUGAAAUGUGUGUCUGUGGAGGUCUGGCUGACUAUUCUGAAAAACCACCACCCAAAUGAAUCUCAUUUUAAUGGAGACCCUGCAUCAAGUUACGUAAUGGCCUGUCCAUCACCGACUGGAUCUCUCACAUUUUCUCAGAUGGUGAGUUGUGAUGCCAUAAACCAAAUCUCAUGUGGAAUAUUUCAUGCAAUGUUCAGGAUGUCUGCUUUCUUAUCCUUUUGAUUUCCUUGAAUAAUUACUUUGUUAAAAAUACAUAUAUCACAUUUU